GUCGCAGUGCUUGUUGGGAGUUUGUGUUGGCGCGGAUGGCGGUUGUGGUGUGUGGGAGCGGAUCCUGAGGACCCAUGCCAGGUCUUUUUAAAACUGUUCAGGUGUGAGGAGCCCCCUGAUUGAUCCGCCCGCCUGUGUCAGACAGUCCCUCACACUCACUUAGAUCCUGCACGGACACCGGGUGUGAUCAUUUAUUGUCCCCCGGACCACACGUCACAUACCUCCCCUCCACAGGAAUCUCCUACGUGGUCGGUCAGGAGUCUUCUAACCAGGAUAGGACUGAAGAAGAACAGCCCAGAGUUCCAGAGAGAGCCUCCCUGUUUGACUGAGGAGAUGAGCUGGAAGUCAGGAGGAGAUGGGCAGUGAGCUGGAGAGGUUCAUUGAAACACUUGAAGUUAGGUACCAGCUGAUGACCCCUCCUCCUGGCCAAGGCUACGGGUAGACUCACCCCAGCUGGACUAGUUUGGAGCAGCAGCAAUGCCAGCAUUGUCUGAAUUUGUCACGAGAGGUCCUGAUGUUUUUGUUAUUACUGUUAAACGUGCACAAUCAUUAAAAACACUCAGU